rnacentral:rRNA from 1 species
UACGAAGGGGGCUAGCGUUGUUCGGAAUCACUGGGCGUAAAGCGCACGUAGGCGGAUUGUUAAGUCAGGGGUGAAAUGCCAAGGCUCAACCUUGGAACUGCCUUUGAUACUGGCAAUCUCGAGUCCGGGAGAGGUGAGUGGAACUGCGAGUGUAGAGGUGAAAUUCGUAGAUAUUCGCAAGAACACCAGUGGCGAAGGCGGCUCACUGGUCCGGUACUGACGCUGAGGUGCGAAAGCGUGGGGAGCAAACAGG